GAUGAACGCUAGCUACAGGCUUAACACAUGCAAGUCGAGGGGAAACGGCAUCGAAAGCUUGCUUUUGAUGGGCGUCGACCGGCGCACGGGUGAGUAACGCGUAUCCAACCUGCCCAUCACUUGGGAAUAACCUUGCGAAAGUAAGACUAAUGCCCAAUGACAUCCCACGAAGGCAUCCGAAUGGGAUUAAAGAUUUAUCGGUGAUGGAUGGGGAUGCGUCUGAUUAGCUUGUUGGCGGGGUGACGGCCCACCAAGGCAACGAUCAGUAGGGGUUCUGAGAGGAAGGUCCCCCACAUUGGAACUGAGACACGGUCCAAACUCCUACGGGAGGCAGCAGUGAGGAAUAUUGGUCAAUGGGCGAGAGCCUGAACCAGCCAAGUAGCGUACAGGAUGACGGCCCUAUGGGUUGUAAACUGCUUUUAUAAGGGAAUAAAGUGGGUCACGUGUGACUUUUUGCAUGUACCUUAUGAAUAAGGACCGGCUAAUUCCGUG
rnacentral:rRNA from 1 species